AGCCCCAACAACUGAGAGGCUGGAAAUUACAUUUGAUGUUCAACAACAACAAAACAAUCAUACAAACAUUGGAGGAGUGUUGUCUCAAUCCUGGAAAGACUUCCACUGUGGAUUUGAGAAAACUAUCUUGGGAUGUUGGAGACCUGAAUGAUGGAGACAAGCUGGAGGUCAUCCUCUACAGCGACACUGGAAAGGAAAUUUUCACAAGAGAAUAUACAAGGAAGGGAUAUUCUGCAGAGUAAUCCAGCAGAGCUGAAAACACCAAGUCAUUUACACAUUUUAUCUCCAGGAAAUCUCCCUGUAAAACUUGAGACAUUUUUAAGAGUCCAUGUGCU